rnacentral:rRNA from 1 species
CAGCAGCCACGGUAAUACGAAGGGGGCUAGCGCUGUUCGGAAUUACUGGGCGUAAAGCGCACGCAGGCGGCUCGAUAAAUUAGAAGUGAAAGCCUAGGGCUUAACCUGAGAAUUGCUUUUAAGACUGUCGAGCUAGAAUCCAGAAGAGGGUAGUGGAAUUCCGAGUGUAGAGGUGAAAUUCGUAGAUAUUCGGAAGAACACCAGUGGCGAAGGCGACUACCUGGUCUGGCAUUGACGCUCAUGUGCGAAAGCGUGGGGAGCAAACAGGAUUAGAUACCCGCGUAGUCCCUGUCUCUUAUAC